GAUGAACGCUGGCGGCGUGCCUAAUACAUGCAAGUCGAGCGAAUGGAUUAAGAGCUUGCUCUUAUGAAGUUAGCGGCGGACGGGUGAGUAACACGUGGGUAACCUGCCCAUAAGACUGGGAUAACUCCGGGAAACCGGGGCUAAUACCGGAUAACAUUUUGAACCGCAUGGUUCGAAAUUGAAAGGCGGCUUCGGCUGUCACUUAUGGAUGGACCCGCGUCGCAUUAGCUAGUUGGUGAGGGAACGGCUCACCAAGGCAACGAUGCGUAGGCGACCUGAGAGGGUGAUCGGCCACACUGGGACGAAGACACGCCCCAGACUACUGCGUGAGGCAGCAGUAGGGAAUCUUCCGCAAUGGACGAAAGUCUGACGGAGCAACGCCGCGUGAGUUAUGAAUGCUUUCGGGUCGUAAAACUCUGUUGUUAGGGAAGAACAAGUGCUAGUUGAAUAAGCUGGCACCUUGACUGUACCUAACCAGAAAGCCACGGCUAACUACGGGCCAGCAGCCGCCGUAA
rnacentral:rRNA from 1 species